AGGACGAACGCUGGCGGCGUGCUCAACACAUGCAAGUCAAGGGGGCCCAGUAGCAAUACUGGGCAACCGGCGAACGGGUGCGUAACACGUGAGCAACCUACCGAAAUGUGGGGGAUAGCCGGCCUAACGGCCGAGUAAUACCGCAUACGCUCUCGAUGAGGCAUUUCAUUGAGAGGAAACCUACGGGACAUUUCGAGGGGCUCGCGGCCUAUCAGCUAGUUGGAGAGGUAACGGCUCACCAAGGCAACGACGGGUAGC
rnacentral:rRNA from 1 species